rnacentral:piRNA from 1 species
UCCACACCUGAGUUAGGUAGCUGCCUGG